AGAGUUUGAUUCUGGCACAGAACGAACGCUGGCGGCGUGCCUAAUACAUGCAAGUCGAACGAGAAAAUCUGGCUUCGGUUAGAUGAGUAAAGUGGCGAACGGGUGAGUAACACGUGGAUAAUCUGCCUGUCUAUCUGGGAUAAUCCUUCGAAAGGAGGCUAAAUACCGGAUAAAGUGCCUGAGCGGCAUCGCUCGGUCAUCAAAGACGGGGCAACCUGUUGUAGAUAGAUGAAUCCGCGCCUCAUUAGCCUGUUGGCGGGGUAACGGCCCACCAAAGCAACGAUGAGUAGCCGGCCUGAGAGGGUGAUCGGCCACACUGGGACUGAGAUACGGCCCAGACUCCUACGGGAGGCAGCAGUAGGGAAUAUUGCGCAAUGGACGAAAGUCUGACGCAGCAACGCCGCGUGGAUGAUGAAGUAUUUCGGUAUGUAAAAUCCUGUCGGUGGGGAAGAAACGUGUCGGUAGUAACUGAUCGGCACCUGACGGUACCCACAGAGGAAGUCCCGGCUAACUCCGUGCCAGCAGCCGCGGUAAUACGGGGGGGACAAGCGUUGUUCGGAUUUACUGGGCGUAAAGGGCGCGUAGGCGGGCCUUCAAGUCAGAUGUGAAAACUUCGAGCUUAACUCGGAGCCUGCAUUUGAUACUGUUGGUCUUGAGUACAGGAGAGGAGAGUGGAAUUCCAGGUGUAGCGGUGAAAUGCGUAGAUAUCUGGAAGAACACCAGUAGCGAAGGCGGCUCUCUGGACUGAUACUGACGCUCAAGCGCGAAGGCUUGGGGAGCAAACAGGAUUAGAUACCCUGGUAGUCCAAGCGGUAAACUAUGGGUACUAGGUGUCGGAGGUAUCGACCCCUCCGGUGCCGCAGCUAACGCAGUAAGUACCCCGCCUGGGGAGUACGAUCGCAAGAUUGAAACUCAAAGAAAUUGACGGGGGCCCGCACAAGCGGUGGAGUAUGUGGUUUAAUUCGAAUCAACGCGCAGAACCUUACCUGGGUUUGACAUGUACUGGACAGGUGGUGAAAGUCACCCUUCUCUUCGGAGACUGGUACACAGGUGCUGCAUGGCUGUCGUCAGCUCGUGCCGUGAGGUGUUGGGUUAAGUCCCGCAACGAGCGCAACCCUUGUUCAUAGUUGCCAUCAGGUUAUGCUGGGCACUCUAUGGAGACUGCCGGUGAUAAGCCGGAGGAAGGUGGGGAUGACGUCAAGUCCUCAUGUCCCUUACACCCAGGGCUACACACGUACUACAAUGGCCGGUACAGAAGGAUGCAAGACCGCGAGGUGGAGCAAAUCCCCAAAACCGGCCUCAGUUCAGAUUAGAGUCUGCAACUCGACUCUAUGAAGGCGGAAUCGCUAGUAAUCGCUGAUCAGCAGGCAGCGGUGAAUACGUUCCCGGGCCUUGUACACACCGCCCGUCAAGCCACGGAAGUUGGGAGCACCCGAAGCCGUUUGCCAAACCGCAAGGAUGGCGGCGUCUAAGGUGAUACUGACGACUGGGGCUAAGUCGUAACAAGGUA
rnacentral:rRNA from 1 species